rnacentral:rRNA from 1 species
GGUUGAUCCUGCCAGUAGUCAUAUGCUUGUCUCAAAGAUUAAGCCAUGCAUGUGUCAGUUUAAAUUCUAGAGAUAAAACUGCGAAUGGCUCAUUAAAACAGUUACGAUCUACUUGAUAAAAUUAUAUAUGGAUAACUCUGGUAAUUCUAGAGCUAAUACAUGUUGAUAUUUUUGACUUUGUGGAAGAAAAGCAUUUAUUAGUUUUAAACCAUCCUGAGCCUUGCUCAGAGCAUAAGGUGAGUCUUAAUAAGCUUGUUGAUCGUUUAACGACGUAUCAUUCGAGUUUCUGAC